AUUACUGCCUGGAAAUCAUUGUGUAUGCAUUGUAUAGGUAUACUGGAGAGUUUGGUAAAGUUUGGGAUUGAAUUGAAUCAAGGGGGAUAAUUUUUUGGUUCCCAGCAGCAGAACCGGAAUUCCGGUUCUGGGUGGUCUGUACCAACCGGUCGACCGGUUGGUGACCCAGAACCGGGAUACCGGAUGGGAACCGGUUUACCUGUUGGGGGAUUUUCCAGAACCCUAGUUUUGGCCAAUUUUGAGAUAUAUAGGGUAUUGCCUUGAGGUUUAUCGAUAGGGAAACUUUUAGUUUCAAGUUUUAAGUCCCGGAAAGUGAUUUAGCGAGUCACUCAUCUGUAUUACCAUUUUUGUGAUUAGGGCAUCCAUCUAGCACGUGAAUUCCGUUCAGGUCGGCCAGCACACUUGAAUUCGGAAAACAGGUAAAGGAAAGGCGAAGGCUGAACAGGAAUGAACCUGAGCUUGGGUGAGAUUGUACAUGUCAAGCAGCGCGACCUGGAGUGUUCGGUCUCGGGACAUCUGGGUGUUGUAUUUUGAAAGUCGCUGUGCGACCCAGAACUUGUAUAUUUUGAAUGUAAAGUUUAAACAGUAAAUUUUCAAAAGUUUGAAAUCGGGAUCCCGGGAUUUGUAAAUAUUAUAUUAUUUUACAAAGUUUAAUGUUUAAAGCAAAAAUUUUAAUUUGA